UACGUAGGGUGCAAGCGUUGUCCGGAAUUAUUGGCGUAAGAGCUCGUAGGCGGUUGUCGCGUCUGCUGUGAAACGCGAGGCUCAACCUCGCGCCUGCAGUGGGUACGGGCAGACUAGAGUGCGGUAGGGAGAAUUGGAAUUCCUGGUGUAGCGGUGGAAUGCGCAGAUAUCAGGAGGAACACCGAUGGCGAAGGCAGAUCUCUGGGCCGUUACUGACGCUGGAGGAGCGAAAGCGUGGGAGCGAACAGGA
rnacentral:rRNA from 1 species